rnacentral:lncRNA from 1 species
UGCUUGAUUCCAGGGAACUUGAUUGAUUUGAUAAUCCUUCAGCAGACCCAAAAUCGCCUGGGAACUUAUAGAAACCAAGGCUACUAUUUCCAGAAAGGUCCCCUCCCCCAAAAGAUCCAAAAGGUACAUAGAAGCCUGAACUUGGCCCAAAAAGUGCAUUAUCAACUAAGCUUUCUUGUCCACUAGUUGCUGGUGCCAUUAGAUCAGUCUGUGAGACUGUAAGAGCUGAACUAACAUGUGGUAGUCCAGGUGAAACUGCUGGAAAAUAAGGUGGUGUCACUGGGAUCUGGUGCGGAGAGUAAAACUGGCCAUCAAUCAUUAUUGUGGAGAUUGGACUCGGAAUGGGAGAGAACUGUCCAUAUGCCAUCUGGGUGUCAUAGCCAUAACCAGGAGGGAAAAAUAGUGAUGGAUUUUCAUUAUACAUUCCCUACAUGUAGCAAAAUACCCAAUUUCAUAAACAGAAUAAAAAAGUCUGUCUCAUGCCUCUGUGCAUAAUUAGUCAAGGCAACAAUAUCAAAUUGAUGAAACUCACUGGAGGUACAACAUGUAAGCUGUUAGGAUUAACAUAGUUAGAAUGCUCAUCCCAGUUCCCAGUGCCAUUGUCAAGACCUGAACCAAGGAAAGAUGAAUAAUGAGUUUUAAGUACAACAAAAAAAAUGAUGAACAAUGAAAACUUUAUGUACAUUGGAGAAAAGUACAAGGAACCAAAAAAGCAAAACACAUGCCAAACUAACAAACAGUGAUUCAAAGAUGUGGAAGUUGAGAAAAAUUGGUACACUACAUAUCAGUACUAAAGUAAUUAAGCCCAAUAUUCACCUCAGUAUUACAGUUUCAAACUCGUGACAUGUUGACCAGAACCUUCACAAAGAGCAUAAGAUUCACAAAUUUUAUGCUGCUGAAACCCCAUGAAAAUAUUAAGCAAGAGGGAACAACACCCCUCUCUUGCAGCCAUAAAAAGGAGCAAAAAUAAUUGUAACACCCACAAAGCAAUACAACGCCCCAUGAAAGAAUGGCAGAUACACACAGUUCAACACAGUCGAAAGCUCUGUCAUGAGAACAGAACCAACAAAGAUAUCAUGUAGCCCACAUGUAUGGUCAGAGAAACGUUGAGAAGAAGACUAUAGCUGCUAAAUCAGCAAGAACAGCACUAUAAAAGGACCUAACCUCCAAAGUAAAAACUUUGUUCAUGCGGCACAUCAAGUGGAUGCACAGUGGUAAGAGCUCCACUCUUAUCCAAGGGAACAGGCUGAUCUUUGGCAUUUCUUGGAGCCCCUGAGAUGGCUGCAUCCGGAGAAGGAUUUGCAGAAAUAAUCCUUUCAUCUUUGGGCGAAAGUGGCUGAUAAUAGAUUGAAAAGGAAGUACUAAUAGACCUAAGCUAAUGGAGAAUUAGAGAAACAAAAGAAACACAGUACAAUCAUGAGUUAUAUGGAUUUACCUGUUCUGUCACAUUAUGCAAUUCAAUAGCUCGCUCCCCUGCAUUGAAACCAAAAAAUUCAUAAAGCAACCACACACUUAAUUGGUCAAGUAAGAAAGCAUGAUACCAUUCUUAUUUUCCUCUUUCUUAUCUAUUGCAGUGUGGGAAAGAAUAUUGACCUCAUUCCCACUUUAAAAUCAUCAAGAAUAUAAGUAAUACACCAAUUAUUUACCAGUAAUACAACAGACUAAGCAACCAUUAAGAAACAUUUAGUCUCAAAACGAACAUGUCAUCCCCAGAAGCAUUAGGUACAGGACAUAUAACAAUUGCAAAGUUUUCAACUGUUGAACAAAAUCACCAUGUCAUUAAUAGAUUCCCAACAUCCGCUUAUACAUAAAAGGGCCAUCUGCACAAACUCCACGUUGGAAACAUCCCCCCCCCCAAAACACAAUUCCCAUUACCAAAUAAUAGGGAGGUGGGAUUUAGUAAUUCUAUUAUGCCUGACUGUAAGAGAUUCCAAGAUUAGGCUAAGCUUUCAUCAGAAUGGGGACAAACAUGUGAUAAUACAAGUUCGACGAGAAAAAGCACCGUUUACUUUUUCGGCACACAAAAACAUCUUUCUGAUAAGGGCACAUCAAUCAAGAAAUUUUCUGCUGAGACCUUUCUGAGUAAACUUAACAUACAUGCCACCUUUCCACAUUUACGAAUACUACUGUUAUCACCUUUCCAGGAAAAGAAGCAUGCCAGCGAUAUUAAAACACCAUAAAUGAUCCUCAUUCUAUCUUGAACCCUAAUCAGCAUGCCAACGAUAAGCUUUUUUAAUGCAGAACCAAAUGAAUGGGCUACGACUCUACAGAAAGUCAUGAAGGUAGAUAAUAGCUGGAACAAGACAGCAGGACAGUACAUUGAUCUGUACAACACAUUGAGAGUCAAGUGGUAAUCAUCCUUCCAAGUCUCGUGGUGUAAAGGAAGGAUCUCUGUUUGUGUCAUAUAGCCUCUCUCGUUGAAGCUCCAACCGUGCUCUUUUUGGCUUGUCCUUAUUGUUUCUAACUCUUAGACGAGGUUUUUUGCGCUGUUGUUAAUAGAACACCUAGCGCCAUACAAAAGUUUCAAUAAAACAGAUGAAUAAAGGACUUUUCUCUCACUUGAAACCACAAGCGAAAAUGAAUCUGACAUUUUUUAACCUUAUUUCCAUACAAUUACAUUGUUGGAGACUGCAUUUUGUCAGCUUUACAAAUUUCAAUUUACGUCGCCACUAAAUUUUGACCCUGGAGUUCCAGGAUGGCAAGCUUAUACGAUAAGGGGGCAACAAUCUAACUUGAUUCGUUGCCUAACCAACCACUAGCUGCAAAAAUGAAAAAUGUAGGCAAACACAUGAGAAGUGGAAAUUGCCUCUUUAAGGGGGCAGGGAGGGGGAAAUGAAUGUCUUUCAUACUUCCAUAUCCUUGCCUUGUGCUUAAUUCACUCAUAAGGAAAAUCUCCUCCCUCACUUAUACCCUCCAAGAUGAACAACUGACAACAAUAAAAUCAGGUUGCAAACGUACAUGUAGAACAAAAACUUAGUUUAGCCAUCCUUCAAACAUCAAAAUAAGAUGCCAGUCCUUGUUGCACAAUGACAGACUUCCUGAAGUUAGUUUAUGGUAUUCCAAAGCAAUACAGUACUUGUCGGACUCUAGUGCACAGAAAAAGAUAAACCUAGAUUGGAAAAAAGAGAUCUGGACCAUCUGGUUAUUUUACAAGAUCAGCUGUCAAAAAGAGGGUACUCAUUAGGCUCCUGUAACAUAAUGCUGUAUUUCUUCAUUCAACUGUCACCAAUUUGGGGAUUUUACAGACUUUACUGCGCAGCAGGUCAAAAUAAUUGCUUUUCAGAGAAAGAGAAGACUAGACGUACAAACAGUAAGCAUCAGUGUGUGAACUAAACACACUUCCAAAGAAACAUCAGAUUUAACCACCUUCAUAUGCCUGAUGCCACCUACAUCAUAAGAGAACUGCCAAAGUAAUAAACGGAAAAAAAAAAAAAAAAAGGAGAGAGAGAGAGACGGAAUCAGGAUUUGAAAUUUUCUCCCUGCUCCUCCUCAUCCCCAACAACUUCAUUGUACAACCAACUACUUCAAACAAUCAACAAAUAUGUGAGCGAGAGAGAAAGGAGAGGAUGAGAGAUGGUCUGUCUGAGGUAAACGAAAUACCACCUUAAAAGAUCACAGUCAGUGACGUCCAGUCAUAUGACCAUUGCAGCAGCCAAAAUAACUACACCUAAUUCCAUCCGGUUUAUAACAUCGUUCUUCCUGCUAUCCAUCUCGGACCACUAUGAACUACUCCAACUCUGUUUUUGGUAGCUUCUUACUACCGUCCAAGUUCAGAGUAUCAGCCAGGUUGUCUGACAGUUGAUUAAUUGGAUCAGCAAGAGCAAUAGUAGAGUUUCCUGUCACACUAGCUCGUUGCUUUGCCUUCUUUUCCAACAAGGCUUUCUCCCGCUCAUCAUAGAAUGUAAAAUCAUCUAAAAGGGAUGUAUCAGCUUCAUAGUCCUUGAAAAUCUUAAGCAUUUCAAUUCCUUGCUCAAGUUUCACCUGAAUAGAAGUCAGUGGUUAGUCAUAAUGGGAAAAUAGCAAAUUCAACAAAAUGAUUUAAAGCAGUUACUAGGAAAGAUCAAAACUUUGAAAAACUUGCUAGAACUCUCAAAAGUAUCAAGCUUUGUCUGUAACCUCUAGAAAGAUGGAUGACAUUUAUCUCAAUGUCCCAAAGGGCCUAUACAAGACCCACAUGUCAAUGGUGACACAAAAACCAAAGACAAGUAGAUCAAUUAGUGUUUUCCACCCAUGCUCGGAAUUUUCUUGAGCAAAAAAGGUGCUGUUUCAAAACCAAGUCUAAUUCUUUGUGAUCAUUACAAAUUUUGGGACGGUAGAGGUGGGGGAAGAGGAGAAAAAUAAGAUGUAACUCUAAUUUAAGGGGAUAAUUCAAAGCUCAACAGCUUCAUACUCAGAAACACAAUUUCAAGACGCAAAUAAAACAAAUACAGAACCCCUCACCUCUUGAGAGUCUCGACUGUGAGUAACAGGCUUGUUGUCAUUAUUUUCAAGAAGUAUGUGGCGGAACCGACUAUUGGGCACAUCUUUGACAACAUGCCAUUUCACAGGGAACUGCCCGCUCCACCUAUCCUGCUGCCAGUACUCCGCAUCAUUUUCAAAAUCAACAGGUCCAACCAUCUCAGCUAUCCCACAAAACUGUCCACUAGCAUUUACCUGAAGGAUACAAAUAGUACAUUGACAAAAGGUCUUUAAACUAUCAAAUUAAUGACCAGGGUAAGGUUGAGGCAAUGAAAAAGCAAUGUAUCUAGUAUAAUUGUUAAAAAAAAAAAAACAAAAUUAAAUACUGUUUACAUUCAAUAAGGUCACUUUUGGUUACACGUAGUGAGUUCAUUCUUCCAUUAACCGAUUCACAAUGGAUCUUGGUCAUUGAUGUGUAAGUUACACGACCUCACAAGUCCCCAGACCAUCUAUACAAAUAUUUACAGGUGUUUUCCUUAUCAGCACGUUAAAGGCAAAAUUGCCACCACUCACCAGAACGUUGGUUUAAAACAGCCCCUGUACCUAUUAACAAUGACCCACCUUCCACCAGCAACUUAUUCUGAACUCUCUAACUAAAUGCUCCUUGUUCAUAUUCCUCAAAGUUGCUUUUCACUGCUUCUCAUGAACUUAUGUAUCACAUUACCUAACUUACAGUUAUAUGAAGAGAGGGACGUGGCAGAGGGGGAAGGGGGGAAGGGGGUGAGAGAAAGCAUGAUCACAAUAGAUUAUGAGUGUCACAAAAAGGUACCAAUGUGCUUCUAAAUGGAACAGUAUCACAUAUCUAUCAUCAUUCUGUUCUUGGCAUGAUCAGACUCAACCUCAAGCAGAAAAGACAUAAACGGAAACAAACAGGCUUCCAUAAAUCUGAUCCAGACGCUCAAAAAACAUACCGAGAAAAAAAGGAAGACCGGGGAGUUGCCUGUCAUGUCCUUUGCUUCAUGAUAAGCAGCAUCAAGCUUUCUGUUUCCAAGUGGUGUGCUAGCCCAAAUGCCAUACUUAAUGCUCUUGUGAACAUUAUCUUCACUGAAAGACUUGAUCACAAAAAACUUGGCAUUCUCAUAAUCAGUGACAAACUCUGGACUGUUAUACUGGUCAAGCUGAAAGCCAGAAGUAGAUUCAACAUCUUUACGUAUGCCAGAUGAAGCAUUCUCUUCAGCAGAAUUCUUGCUUUUUGGUUUUGAAGCCCUAGGUCCUCUAUUUCUAUCACUUGAAAUUCCUAAAGAAUCAUUAGAGUAGUUCAGAGAGUCCUUUUCUCUAUCACGCCUUCCUCCUUUAUCUAGACCCAGUCUGUUCCGCUGGUUAUCCCAGUGAGAACUGGAACCUGUACCAUAUUUCAUGCCCUGGUAAGAGCCACUAUGUGGAUAAUGUCUAGCAGACGAGCUUGACGCUAACCCCAGCCCUUGAUAUGGCGCCUGCAAUCCAAAAAUUAAUAACUAAAUCAACUGGUCCAGAAGCGAAAUGAGCCAAGUAGUUAAGCAAUUCAACAGAAAAGAAAAAAUACAAAGAGAAAGAAACAAAUUGAAAGUUGAUCUAGUUGCAGCUUUGAACAAAAAGUGCAGGAUGGCAUUAUAAAGAUGACAAAAAUAUUUCAACCUUCCAAACCAAAAAAAAAAGAUAGACAAAAUUAAUAAACUAAAUUAGCAUAGACCUUCAAAAGGAAAGUGAGACAAAAUUAACAAACUAAAUUAGCAUAUCUCAUGUCAUUCGUUUGUCAUUACUCACUUCAGAUAGACAUUUUACAUACUAAUAAACAUGUAGCCAACAAUUACAUUUUACAUGGUAAUAAACAUGUAGCCAACAAUGUGUAAGGAAUAAAAUCUUUAAGCAACUAUGAAGAUGCAUUCUAGGAGUGCAGAAUGCUCAAUAUUUCAGGAAAAGAAAAGAAUUUGAAUGACGUUACUGAUGCAAUUGCCUGCCGCUAGUUUAACCACAAAAUGUAGAUGGCAUAGUCAUUUGGACAUGUGAUUUAAUUUUUUUAAAAAAAAGAAGAGCAUGGGGCUAGACGCAGACCACCCUUUCAGACAUAGAGCAAUAGUGCAUUCUGCUUUUAAAUAAAUCCAGCAAUGACUGUCAAAAGAUUAUUACUCAACUACUAAAAUUUGUAAACUUCCAAACUUAUUCUGUUGGCAACAAACUCAAGAAAUAAGAAUAGAAAAAAUUCCGGCAAUGGUGGAGCACAAAGUAUCAAAAAUAUCAAGUACAAACAAGCAUCCUGGAUGCUACUUUUUCUUAGAUAUUCUUGUCACUUAAACAAAUACAUUUGAGUAACCAAUAAAAAUAGGCUGAUUAAGAUUAAGUCAAGUCAAGAAAUGAAGAAAAGAAUACAUGAAACAUGAAUAAUGCCCAAUUGCAAUGAAUUAUUUCAUGAACAAGAAGAGUUAUUCAGCUUCACGUCAUGUAAAGUUUACAAGAGGACAAGAAAUAUAUUUAAAAAACAAUAAUUGAUAUCAGAAAAAUAGUUCCAAUUAUUCUUCUCGCAGAUAUCACUACAUAGAAUCAAGGAGAUCAUGAGACAACUAACCUGAGCAAGAUUUUGCUCAUAUGGCCCAAGAAUGCCAAUUGGCUGUGGAUAUACCGCUCCUGAUGUUAACUGAGACAUGUACCUGCUUGAUUCCAGGGAACUUGAUUGAUUUGAUAAUCCUUCAGCAGACCCAAAAUCGCCUGGGAACUUAUAGAAACCAAGGCUACUAUUUCCAGAAAGGUCCCCUCCCCCAAAAGAUCCAAAAGGUACAUAGAAGCCUGAACUUGGCCCAAAAAGUGCAUUAUCAACUAAGCUUUCUUGUCCACUAGUUGCUGGUGCCAUUAGAUCAGUCUGUGAGACUGUA